rnacentral:rRNA from 1 species
AGUGAACGCUGGCGGCGUGCUUAACACAUGCAAGUCGAACGAGAACGGAUUAUAGCUUGCUAUAAUUGUCAGCUAAGUGGCGCACGGGUGAGUAAUGUAUAGGUAAUAUGCCUCUUACUAAGGGAUAACAAAUGGAAACGUUUGCUAAUACCUUAUACUCCUUAUUAACAGAAGUUAAUAAGGGAAAGAUUUAUUGGUAAGAGAUUAGCCUGUAUUGUAUCAGUUAGUUGGUGGGGUAAUGGCUUACCAAGACUAUGACACAUAACUGGUUUGAGAGGAUGAUCAGUCGCAGUGGAACUGAGACACGGUCCAUACUCCUACGGGAGGCAGCAGUGGGGAAUAUUGCACAAUGGACGAAAGUCUGAUGCAGCAACGCCGCGUGGAGGAUGACACAUUUCGGUGCGUAAACUCCUUUUAUAUGAGAAGAUAAUGACAGUAUUAUAUGAAUAAGCACCGGCUAACUCCGUGCCAGCAGCCGCAGUAA